GUGGGAGUUACCCGGUGUUCACUAACCCCACGACCAAGAACCCAAUCACUCGCUCAUCAUUCGACGCCACAAGCGAACAAACCGCAACCUAAGCAGCAGUAGGAGGAGGAGGAGUAAAAUCCCCACAAAAAUAUGAGCGCUAGAAUACUCCUACGCUAGCAGCGGAGGAGAGAGAGAAGUGGGAGUAGUAUACUCCUCGCUUGGUAUUCUUCUCCCGUCCCCCCUCUCCCUCUCUCUCUCUCUUGUUCCUUGGAGUUGUUGUCCUGGGACGGAGCUUAGAAAAAGGCCCCGCCUUUUGGCUCAUUCCUCACCUGCUCUGCUCUGCUCUGCUCCAGGGACGCGAGCGAGCUGCUCAGCGAGCGAGGGAGAGGGGGAGAGAGGGAUGGCGCGCGUGGAGAAGGUUGCCGGCGGCGAAGGGCAGGUGGAGGUGGUGGUCGGGGUGGACGGCAAGGGCGCGAUAGAGUGCCGGAUAUGCCAGGAGGAGGGGGAGGAGGCCGCCAUGGACUCCCCCUGCGCCUGCACUGGCACGCUCAAGUUCGCGCACAGGAAGUGCAUACAGAGGUGGUGCGACAAGAAGGGGAACAUCACAUGUGAAAUCUGCAACCAGGUUUACUCUCCAAACUAUGUUCUCCCUCCAACCAAGUGCUGUUCAGAUGAAAUGGGCAUGGAUCUUAGGCAAAGCUGGGUUGGACGAAUCGAUCCCCAUGAUUCCCAUUUCCUGGCGAUCGCCAUCGCGGAGCAGCAGCUGCUGAACGCUGAAUUUGAUGACUGCAUGACCUCAAAUUCGAGUGGCGCCACAUGCUGCCGGUCUAUUGCUCUAAUUUUGAUGUUCCUUCUGCUCGUGCGCCAUGUAACCGUGAUCGUGCGAGAUGUUAGCAUGCUACAAGAUGCGACGGUUCUGUUCAGCGCAAUUCUUCAGUUCGUGGGAUUCUUCCUUCCGUGUUACGUCAUAGCGCGCUUCUGCUAUGCCUUUCAACACCGGAGGCGAAGACAGGUUUAGGGGCAUGCCUGAACCCGGAACCGUACUUUGUCGCGCAAACCGGACCCCGACUUGAGAAGAGAAAGGCGGCGAAGCUUGCGAAGCGAAGCUUCUUCUUCUCCCCCUUGGCCGCAACGAAUCAUGGUUUCAUGAAAAAUGUAGGCGAAAAGUAGAUGGAUUGUGGUGGACGGAGUAGCUGCAACGGCACCCGUCGAGCUCAACUGUACAUAUGAGAGUCAGUUUACAGCUACAGAUGCAAGUUGAAGUUGAUGACAUUUUCGCUCC
rnacentral:rRNA from 1 species